rnacentral:snoRNA from 1 species
CUUCAUGAUGACAAAGGGCCAUAGCGCCUGAUAUCUAUACCCAGCUCGUCGAAUGCCUCACCAAAUUAACGCAGAGUGCAUCAUGAGAUAAAAACUUCGUCUGACAC